AUAUCUGGAAGGCUGUUGUCCAAGCCAUUUUGCGGUCUAUAAGCGGGGUCUCUGGAACCAAAGGGAGCACACAGCUCUUCUUAAAAUUGAAGGUGUUUAUUCCCGAGAUGAAGCAGAAUUCUAUUUGAGCAAGAGAUGUGUUUAUGUAUACAAAGCAAAGAACAACACAGUGACUCCUGAUGGCAAACCGAACAAAACCAGAGUAAUCUGGGGAAAGGUAACUCUGGCCCACGGAAACAGUGGCAUGGUUCAUGCCAAAUUCCAAAGCAACCUUACCGCUAAAGCUAUUGGACACAGAGUCCGAGUGAUGCUGCACCCCUCAAGGAUUUAA
rnacentral:lncRNA from 1 species